AAACCAACAGGGAUUGCCUUAGUAGCGGCGAGUGAAGCGGCAAAAGCUCAAAUUUGAAAUCUGGCUCUUUCAGAGUCCGAGUUGUAAUUUGAAGAAGGUAUCUUUGGGUCUGGCUCUUGUCUAUGUUUCUUGGAACAGAACGUCACAGAGGGUGAGAAUCCCGUGCGAUGAGAUGAUCCAGGCCUAUGUAAAGUUCCUUCGAAGAGUCGAGUUGUUUGGGAAUGCAGCUCUAAGUGGGUGGUAAAUUCCAUCUAAAGCUAAAUAUUGGCGAGAGACCGAUAGCGAACAAGUACAGUGAUGGAAAGAUGAAAAGAACUUUGAAAAGAGAGUGAAAAAGUACGUGAAAUUGUUGAAAGGGAAGGGCUUGAGAUCAGACUUGGUAUUUUGUAUGUUACUUCUUCGGGGGUGGCCUCUACAGUUUAUCGGGCCAGCAUCAGUUUGGGCGGUAGGAGAAUUGCGUUGGAAUGUGGCACGGCUUCGGUUGUGUGUUAUAGCCUUCGCCGAUACUGCCAGCCUAGACUGAGGACUGCGGUUUAUACCUAGGAUGUUGGCAUAAUGAUCUUAAGUCGC
rnacentral:rRNA from 1 species